ACCCGCUGAACUUAAGCAUAUUACUAAGCGGAGGAAAAGAAAUUAACGAAGAUUGCCUCAGUAGCGGCGAGCGAAGUGGCAAAAGCUCAAUUCAAAUCUGUGGCCCUCGGCUACCGAAUUGUAAUCUGAAGGGGUUAGCAAAAGGGGACAUGGAGGCAUAAGUCGCUUGGAACAGUGCGCCAAAGAGGGUGAUAGCCCCGUAUUUGGCCUCCGUAGAACCGAAUGCUGGCUUUCAAAGAGUCGGGUUGUUUGGGAUUGCAGCCCUAAAUGGGAGAUAAACUUCUUCUAAGGCUAAAUAUCGAUGGGAAACCGAUAGCGAACAAGUACUGUGAAGGAAAGAUGAAAAGAACUUUGAAAAGAGGGUUAAAAGACUUGAAAUCGUUGAGAAGGAAGCGGUAGAAGCGGAUUACUUGGCUAUGAAGCAAGCUACGUGCUGUGGCCCUGCAGCGGUGAUGUACCUCAUCGGCUAGCUGUUGCAGUGGUUACGUCUUGUAGUGAUUUCAUGGCUAAAAGGCAACUUCAUGUCUGUGCUUACAGGAAUCAGGAGGGGAGAAGUCUGCGGUUUACCGUAAGCUCCUCUCCAAAACUGUGAGUUGGCAAGAAGCUGCCAAAACCGCUUU
rnacentral:rRNA from 1 species